GUGGCUGUGCUCUAUUAAUGGCAGAGAAAUUUGCUGAAGUGCCACCAGCUCGGGCUGACUGAAAACCACCUGUCGGGGCCCCAAUGAAACGAGCUAGUAAUCAGCCCUCUGGGAGGUUGGGGAAACUCACUGGGAAGCCACCCUCUGAGGUGCUAGUGAGACUCUGCAGCGGCGCCAGCGAAACUUGCUGGAGCGCGAGCGCCGCUGGGCGUCCCAUAUGCUGCUUGCUUUCAAGAGCUGCCGGAGCGAAACCUGCACGCAAGAAGCAGGAAGAGCCACCUCUUCCUCCAGCGAUAUCUCUUCCACGCCCCCUGCUGACAAAGCCUCACAUUGCACCAGCCGACAAAGGGGAAAUGUUUACAUAGUUCAGCUCCUGUAUCACAAAGCAAGACAAAGAAAGGUGGAUUUGGAGCUGAGAGACACUAAAGUCAUAACGGGCGCAGAUGGUGUUUUGUGACUAUUCGAGAGAAGAAUCAGGAAGAAGAUAGUUUAUGAGGAAGAAAUGCAGAGGUGAUUACUUUUUAUGCAAUGCACAGUAGCAGAGUGAUGAAUUUGAGGACAAAAGAGACUAAUUCAUACACCAGAAUACCAAUGGAUUAAUUUGUACUAGAAGAUUUAACUGCUGUGACUAACGUUAUCACCGCGCCCGCCAGCUGAAAUUCUCCUUCCUAUUAUCAAGAUACCUGGGACUCCAACUCAAUGAUCAGAAAGUUGCUUUCUGAGAAGUACCUUGCAGAGCAAAAUCAAGUUGAAUUCACCUAAGAAUUAUUUUCAUCUUUUUGUAUUCUCCCACACAGAUUAGCAAGAAGUCUUGAUUUACCAAUUGGCUGUGUUUCAAAUGUUGAUUUCAGAUUUUUUUGGUUAGAAUUUGUAACAUUUCCCCCCAUUAAUAAUAUUACUAAGGUGGUUAAAUUCCAGCUGUUCUAUAAAAGCUUUUUUCAGCUGUAAUGUGGAUAAAACAACGUACUUUUAGAAAAAUAGUGGGAAAUGGUAGCUGUCUUAAGACUAAAAUUAAACAAAACAAACAAAUUGAAUGAAGUGGUACAUGAAAUACUCAAACAUUCUCCCCUCUUCAAUUUCACUUGUGUUAAGCUCGCCCCAAUCUGCUUUCAACACUUUUUCUCCAUCCUCAUGGCACACUGGGUACAUCUAUAAAGCGGCAUUUAUUACACUGCACUGCAAUUAUCAACUUACCUUGCUGUCUUCUUUACUAGAAGAAUCUUUUGUAAACUAUGACUUGCUAACAGAGGUUUUGAGAUGUUUUCAAAAAAGUGUUUGGAGGAUUUAAUUGUGAGUAUUAUGCAAACUAAAAGGCCUCUAGAAGGCCAAUUCAAAGAUUCAUUCUUAGUAAGGAUUUCUAGGAAAAGAGAAUGAUUAUCUAAUCUUUGCUGGAAUAUGGAAAAUAAACGUUUCGUAACAGUCACCGAGUGAGAGUCAACUGGGAGGAUGGAUGCCUGGUUUCUCAGACUAAGUCUUAAGUCCAUUAAAUCUCAUGAGAAAAUUGCUUGUGUGUUUUAUCAGGAGGGCUAAUUUCUUCCCAGAGGGAGGUCUGGAAUAAUGCUACAAAAUAGGGUUCUGUCCCAUAUCAAGUUUUGAACAAUUUUUUUUUAAAGAGAUAAUGGGGUCUUGUAUAAAU
ensembl:lncRNA